GAUUCUCAGCGUCCUCUCCGGUGGAGGACAGAAGGCAUCCCAGGGUCGCGGGAGAGCCAGCGCAAAGUGGAAGGCACCUUGUACGCUGUGAAGCGGAGAUGCAGAUGUUACCCUAACCAGAAGCCCACCCCGCCACAAAUACUGGAGCGCCCAGCAUGCGUGCGCCACCCGCUUCCCUGCAGAGGGCGCCGCGGGCCCGCCUCGCCGAGCGCGGGGUGAGAUCCCAGUAGCCCAGAGCAGCCCGCGGGGCAGGCCCGGGCUGCCGCGGACUCCUCUUGAAAAGCCUUUGAUGCUGUAUUCUUAGCACAUGGAACCCUAAACCAAAGCCUGCACUGGGGCAUUUGUGAGAAGCGUGUGUGCAAAGCCUGAGAGACUCCCCUUUUGGGCAUGCUGCUGGGCAGGGGUGUUCUGGUUUGACUUUGUACAUGUCAGGCCAUCUCAAACUUGUGGCUGCAGCUGUCACUUAGAGUCGCACACCUCCUGAAUUGGUACCUCCAGCCCUGACUUCUCUUCAGUGCUCCAGACACAUGUAUUUCUCUGCUCGCCAAACAUCUUCCACACAACAAGCACUUUAAACUGAAAAUAUUCCAAAUCAAACUAAUCACAUUCUGCUUGCUAUCAGCAGCCUUCUUCACUCUCUGAUUCCUUUAUUUUGGUUAGUAGCAGUGUCAUUUACCAAACUGCUCCAGCCAAAAACCCUGGUGUCAGCCUAAACUCCACACUCUUCUUUCACCUCCAUUGUCUAAUAGUCACCAAAGUCUGUCCCCUCCUACCCUAGCAUAUCUCACCCUUCCAUUCUCUUGUUUCCAUCCCAUUGUCACUGCCCUAUUUCAGGCUCUCAUCACUUCUCACCUGGACUAGGGCAACUGCUUUCUUGUUUCCAUUAAAAAUUUUUAUUUAUAAUUGAUAAUAAGUAUACAUGUCUGUGGGUACAGUGUAAUGUUUCAAUACAUGUAUAUAUUAUGUAAUGAUCAAAUCAGAAUAGUUGUCCAUCACUUCAAGCCUUUAUCAUUUUUUUGUGAUAACUUUAAAGGUGUUUCCUAGGUAUCUUGCAAUGUACAAAGCAGUUAUUAUUGUUAUUAGCUAUAGUCACCCUACUAUGUACAGAAUACGAGAAAUUAGUUUUCCUAUCUAACUGUAACAUCCCCUCCGGAGCCUUUGGUCACCAUUGUUCUACCCUCUGCUUCUAUGAGAUCAGCUUUUAUAGAUUCCACAUGUGAGUGAGAUCAUUUGUCUUUCUGUGCUUGGCUUAUUUCACUUAACAUGAUGUCCUCCAGGUUCAUCCUCGCUGUUGCAAAUGACAGGAUUUUGUCCCUAUUUAUGACUGAAUAGUAUUGCAUAUAUAUGGAGAUAUAUAUAUAUAUAUCUCACAUUUUCUUUAUCCAUUCAUGCACUGAUGGAUACUUAGCUUGAUUUCAUCUCUUGGCUAUUGUGCUAAGCCCUUACUAUAGUGUUGCAGUGAACAUGGGAGUGCCAAUAUCUCUUUUGACUUAUUGAUUUCCAUUCCUUUGGAUAUAUAUCCAGUAGUGGAAUUGCUGAAUCAUACAGCAGUCCUAUUUUUAAUUUUUUGAGGAACUUCCGUAUUGUUUUCCAUAGUGUCUAUGCUAAUUUACAUUCCCACCAACAGCAUAUGAGUUCCCCUUUCUUCACAUCCUCAACAGUAAUUGUUAUUUUUUGUCUUUUUUUUUUUUUUUGCCAUUCUAACUGGGGUGCAGUGAUAUCUCAUUGUGGUUUUCAUUUGCAUUUCCCUAAUGAUUACUGAUGUUGAGCAUUUUUUCAUAUACAUAUAUAUAUAUAUAUAUAUGUAUGUAUGUCUUCUUUUGAGAAAUGUCUACUCAGGUCUUAUUCCCAUUUUCGAUUGGAUUAUAUGGGCUUUUUUUUUUCUUUUGCUAUUGAGUUGUUUGAAUUUCUUACAUAUUCUGUUUCUUUUUUCUUUCUUUUUUUUUUUUGAGAUGAAGUCUCACUCUUUUCACCCAGGCUGGAGUGCAGUGGUGUGAUCUUGGCUCACUGCAACCUCUGUCUCCUGGGUUCAAGCAAUUCUCCUACCUCAGCCUCCCAAGUAGCUGGGAUUACAGGUGCCCACCACCAUACCCACCUAGUUUUUGCAUUUUUAGUAGAGACGGGUUUUCACCACAUUGGGCAGGCUGGUCUCGAUCUCCUAACCUCAGGUGAUCCACCCACCUCGGCCUCCCAAAGUGCUAGAAUUGAAUUUCUUACAUAUUCUGAAUAUUAACCCAUUACACCAGUGCAUAGUUUGCAGACAUUUUUUUCCAAUUUUGUAGGUUGCCUCUUUGUUGAUGGUUUCCUUUGCUGUGCAUAAGCUUUACAGUUUAAUGUAAUCCCAUUUGUCUAUUUUUGCUUUUGUUGCCUGUGCUUUCGAGGUUUUUUCCAAAAAAUUCUUGCCCAGACCAAUGUCAUGAAGCAUUUCUCCUAUGUUGUACUCUAGUAGUUUUAUAGUUUUAGGUCUUCCGUUUACAUCUUCAUUCCAUUUUGAGUUGAUUUUUGUAUAUGGUGAGAAAUAGGUGUCUAGUUUCAUUCUUCUGCAUGUGGAUAUCCAGCUUCCCCAGCACCAUUUAUUGAAGAAACUGUCAUUUUGGGGUAACUGCUUUCUAACAGGUCUCUGGGGUUUGGUAUUACUGCGCCAGAACCCUUUCAUAUAGCUGUCAGAGAGAUGGCAGUGGAACAGCUCAGUUUAUAUCUCUCUGCUCUUUAAACCUAUCUGAUGAUUCUUCAUUGCCAGUAGGAUAAAGUCCAAACACCUUGGCUUGUCAUAUCAAGUCCUUUCCCAUCUGGUGCCCAUCAUCCCAGCUACCUCCUCUGAUACUCUCUACCAUGCAUCCUAUGAUUGCCUCCCAAUUUUACAUUCUCUUCAUCUUCCUGAUUAAAAUAGUGAUUGCUGAUUACAUGUCCUCUCUUUUGCAGUUAGAUGUGGCCAGGUGACAAAGUUCUGUACAGUGGAAUGUAAACAGAAGUAUCAUGUGAGAGUUUCCAAGAACUUUUUCAGGAGGGAGGAAACACAUGUCCUUUGCCCUCCCUUUUUGUUUGCUGCCUUCUCCAUCCUAUAGCCUGGAAUACAGACAUGAUGGCUACCAUCUUGGACUAUGAACAUGAGGAUCACACCCAAGGGAAGGAGAGGCAGCAAGCUGGAAGGUACUAUGGAGCAGAACUGCCACAGCCUGAGUACCUACCUCUGGAACUUUCUGUGAGAAAUGAAAUGGGCCCAACAGUUCCAUAAACAGUUGUUUUGGGAUAAACAUAGAAAUGGCCCCUAGCUUGAAAUUUGCAUUUGUUUUAUCUGAGUUCCCUCCUCAGGAAAGGACCUUCAGGCCUCUCAAAAAAGUAUCAAGAGAACUGACACCAGAUGCCUCCUUGCCCCUCCCUAGUUCCUGUUUUCUUAAACAUUGUUACAUAUCUUCCCUGCUAUGUAAGCCCCUAGAUUUAGUCAGUCAGGGAGAUGGAUUUGAGACUGAGCUCUCAUAACUUGGCUGCAGCACCCGAUUAAAGCCUUCUUCCUUGGCAAUACUUAUUGUCUCAGUGAUUGGCUUUCUGUGCGUCAGUACCUAGACUGAACCCCUGGUGUUUCCAUAACUUGGUCAAGCCACUGUUAUUCUGAGUAUCUGUCCCUUGCUGCUGUGCCUAAUCCUAAUUGACACAGAAUUUGGUACCAGAUCUGGGAUGCUACAGGUCACUCCAUGCUUAUGUUUUUCUUUCUUUAUGUUCAUAAGAAUUCAAGAAGCUAGCCAACCCCACUAUCUUUGAAUUAUUCACUCUUGCCAUGAAGAUUUAUUACCAUAGCCACUUGGCCUUCCAGCGUUUUGAUUUCCAUGGAUACUUUUUCUCCCAGGUGACUACAAGUGACAAUGUAUUUAUUUUGAGAUGGAUUUUCACUCUUCUUGCCCAGGCUGGAGUGCAAUGGUGCGAUCUUGGCUCACUGCAACUUCUGGCUCCUGGGUUCGAGAGAUUCUCCUGCCUCAGCCUCCUGAGUAGCUGGGAUUACAGGCAUCUGCAACCACUCCUGGCUAAUUUUUGUAUUUUUAGUAGAGACGGGGUUUCAGCAUGUUGGCCAGGCUGGUCUCAAAUUCCUGACCUCAGGUGAUCCACCCUCCUCGGCCUCCCAAAGUGCUGGGAUUACAGGCAUGAACCACCAUGCCUGGCCUACAAGUGAUAAUUUAAAUAACUGUUCUGCCACUGCAUACCACAGACUGGUAGGCCUUCCAAAGUAGAUCUGUUUGGCAGAAUCACAUCCAGAACCAUAGCUUCAAGGAAUUCUGGAAACGUGGCUUUAUUUCUAGAUCUGUAGAACAGGCAGAACACUGGGAACAGAUGUUGAGUGAGUCGAUCCAGAGUGUCUGGUAAACAUGUCUCAAUCCAGCCUCAUGAGAUAAGUCAUUCUUUGCCAGACUUGCCAAGAUGGUAAGGCUUCCUUUAAGUCAUUUCUGCAUUUCCUUCUGCCCUGAAUCUUAUCUUCCUCCCUCCCUCCUUUCUCUGCUUUGUGAGCUUAUGCUACUCUUUCAAUAUCCAAAUCCAACAUCAUCCUUAGCAAAGCAAAUCCAUGCUGGUUGCUGCUGGCUCUGAGUAGCACUUUGAACAAUCUUUGGUUAACAUUCUUAGAGGAAUCAUAUUUAUUGAUUACAGAUCUCUUUUUCCUGAUAAAAUGUGCCCUCCUUGAGAACAGGAAUAUAAGCAGCUGUCAUUGCAUCUGACCCUUUCUGCAUUUCUAUUUGUAUUCUCAGUCUGGCAAGGUGGAGUUGCUGAGGCAAUGUUUGUCGAACUCGUGAAUAUUGAUAAUGGCUCCAAAGCUGCCUCCUCUCUUAGACCAGAGGGUUAAGAGUAUGUAGACUCCGGCUAUGUGGUAGCUCAUGCCUCUAAUCUCACUGAAGGAGCCUCAUUGUCUGGGGUAAAUACCAGGGUCCUUGGUCUCACAGUCAAGGAAAUUGAGGUCACAGACACACACACAGAGUGAGAUUGGAGCAGGAGUUUAAUAGGCAAAAGGAAAGAACAGCUCUCUGUCACAGAGAGGGGUCCAGAGCAGGUUGUCAAGUUUUAGUAAAAAUGUCAGGGUUGGCCAGGUACGGUGGCUCACACCUGUAAUCUUAGCACUUUGGGAGGCUGAGGCGGGCAGAUCACGAGGUCAAGAGAUCGAGACCAUCCUGGCCAACAUGGUGAAACCCUGUCUCUACUAAAAAUACAAAAAUUAGCUGGGUGUGGUGGUGCGUACCUGUAGUCCCAGCUACUCGGAAGGCUGAGGCAGGAGAAUUGCUUGAACCUGGGAGGCGGAGGUUGCAGUGAGCCAAGAUCAUGCCACUGCACUCCAGCCUGGCGACAGAGCAACUCUCUCUUA
rnacentral:lncRNA from 1 species